CAGCAAAACCCAACACCAAGUGAGUCAAAGGUACAUCAGGAGAGUUCAAAACACAGGCGGGGGAAAGUGUGCGGGGCAGGAGGUUCACCCAGCCACUGAAAACCACUCAGGCCACCCCACGAAAUGCCACAGCUGGAGAAUUAGGUACUAUUACCCCCAGGAUGUCAGGUGGGGUCAGAGCACAGUUAAGUCUCUCUGUAAAGAGAACAUGAAGUUUCAGAGACUGGAAAUAACCGAAGAGUCCAUAGGGUGACUUGAACUAGUUGCACGAGACGUCAAACACCGUCCUAGCCUUUGGGGCUGACUGAGUAACUGAGACAGUCCUCGAGGAGUUUACAUCCUGUUGGCAAGGACAGCCCAGCAGGCUGACAGGUUUGGGAGACGACAGGGACUUCCUUGCAAACCAGAGAGAUCUCAGCCGCAAACUGAGAGCCAAAGAGAGAGGA